CAUAAUGCCUUGGCUUUUGUUGAUUGUGUUCUUAUGCUGACCUUUAGCCAUCUGGUUGUCCCUGGAUGUUACUGGUGUAGCAGUUAUUGGGAGGGGUACUUCAACUUGAUGAUCCUGGUGUGGCAGGCCUCAGAUGGGAGGUCUGAUGAAGGUGGACAGAGAGGUGGCUGGAUAAUGAAGGUCCAGAGGGGACAGGAGGCUGCUUAGGGUAGGUUUAGUUGAAUUACAAUUUUGCUAUAUGAGGAAAUGAAGGGACAAAAGUGGAGCAGAAAGGAAAGGCCAUCCAGUGACUGGCCCAACUUGGGAUCCAUUCAUAUGUGCACACCAAACCCUGACACAACUGACCAUGUUGUGGUUGCAGACAGGAAUGGCUGUUCUCUGAGAGGCUCUACCAGAAGCUGACUGAAAUGGAUACAGAUAUGUAAACAGCCAACCAUUAGACCAAGGAAGAGUUAGGGGAAGGAUUGAAGGAGCUGAAAGGAUGGCAACCCCCUAUCAACAUUUACACAAUGGAGUACUAC
rnacentral:lncRNA from 1 species